UACGUAGGGCGCAAGCGUUGUCCGGAAUUAUUGGGCGUAAAGAGCUCGUAGGCGGCCUGUUACGUCUGCUGUGAAAUCCCGGGGCUUAACCCCGGGCGUGCAGUGGAUACGGGCAGGCUGGAGGCAGGCAGGGGAGAACGGAAUUCCCGGUGUAGCGGUGAAAUGCGCAGAUAUUGGGAGGAACACCGGUGGCGAAGGCGGUUCUCUGGGCCUUACCUGACGCUGAGGAGCGAAAGCGUGGGGAGCGAACAGG
rnacentral:rRNA from 1 species